rnacentral:rRNA from 1 species
UGAACGCUGGCGGCAUGCCUAACACAUGCAAGUCGAACGGGGUAUGGGUGCUUGCAUUCAUACCUAGUGGCGGACGGGUGAGGAAUACGUAGGAAUCUGCCCUGAAGUGGGGGAUAACCCGAGGAAACUCGGACUAAUACCGCAUGAUCUCUUCGGAGCAAAGCAGGGGAUCGAAAGACCUUGCGCUUUUGGAGGAGCCUACGUCUGAUUAGCUUGUUGGUGAGGUAAUGGCUCACCAAGGCGACGAUCAGUAACUGGUCUGAGAGGACGACCAGUCACACCGGAACUGAGACACGGUCCGGACUCCUACGGGAGGCAGCAGUGGGGAAUAUUGGACAAUGGGCGAAAGCCUGAUCCAGCAAUGCCGCGUGUGUGAAGAAGGCCUUCGGGUUGUAAAGCACUUUAGGCUGGAAAGAAAAAACUUAGGUUAAUACCCUGAGUCUUGACGGUACCAGCAGAAUAAGCACCGGCUAACUCUGUGCCAGCAGCCGCGGUAAU